CUACGUUUAAGUUGUUGCAGUUAAACAGCUCGUAGUCGAACUUUGGCGGUGGUUGCUGAAACUUCGUAAGAAGGUUUGAUGUAGCGCCGUCUUUGUGGAUUAUGAGCAUGUGGUGGCCUUUAUUGUAUUGCUACUUGUUCGCCACUGUUUACUGUGAAAAAAUUAGAGUGUUUAAAGCAAGCGAUUGCCCUGAAUACAUUAGCAUGGAAUAAUAGAAUAGGACCUGAUCCUGUUUUAUUGGUUUUCGGUAUCAGAGUAAUGAUUAACAGGGACGGUCGGGGGCAUUUGUAUUCCAGCGCGAGAGGUGAAAUUCUUAGACCGUUGGAAGACAAACGGCUGCGAAAGCGUCUGCCAAGGACGUUUUCAUUGAUCAAGAACGAAAGUAAGGGGAUCGAAGACGAUCAGAUACCGUCGUAGUCUUUACUGUAAACUAUGAGGCCUGGGGAUUGGCGGGUGUGGCCAAAUUGGUACGCUCGGCACCCUCCGGGAAACCAAAGCUUUUGCUUUCUGGGGGGAGUAUGGUCGCAAGUCUGAAACUUAAAGGAAUUGACGGAAGGGCAUCACUGGGUGUGGAGCCUGCGGCUUAAUUUGACUCAACACGGGAAAACUUACCAGGGCCAGACAUAGCUAGGAUUGACAGAUUGAGAGCUCUUUCAUGAUUUUAUGGUUGGUGGUGCAUGGCCGUUCUUAGUUGGUGGAGUGAUCUGUCUGGUUAAUUCCGUUAACGAGCGAGACCUGGGCGUAUUAAAUAGCUAUGCGGUAGCAACGUUAAAUUGAUAUAUUCUUCUUACGGACUGUAGGCGUUAGUCUACCGAACUCCGAGGCAAUAACAGGUCUGAAAUGCCCUUAAAUGUUCUGGGCCCCACGCGUGCUACACUGAAUGGCUCAACGGGUGAGGUCUGCAAAACUUGACCCAUCCCAAAAUUUCACCGUGAUGGGGAAAAACUUGUAUUGUCCCUCUUGACAAGGAAUUCCUAGUAAACGCGAGCCACCACGCGCUGGCUAAAACCCUGCCCUUUGAACCCCCCCCUCCCCCCUCCAUUAGGGCCAGGAAGCCUGGGAACCGGGAAUAGGAUUUUUCGAAACCGGUGGUCCAACUGGCCACCUUCCUUAAAAGAAAUCGAAAGUUCUAGAC
rnacentral:rRNA from 1 species